UAUAACAUUCCAUGUAGUAAUAAUUUUCGUCAACUUAUGUCAGUUCCCAGAAAGGUGAAAUAAUAUAAUCUUUGUGGGACUGGGAACCAUAUUAUCGGAAGCGUGGCCAAUGACUUUCAAGGUAUGUGUACUGUGGGCUCAUUUGCAUUGUCUAUUCUCACUAAUUACUAGUUUGAUGCUGAUAAAGCACAGUGUUAGUUGUUGCGUCCAUCUCACCGUUCGCUUUGAAUUGACGCCUCAGAUUUAAGAAUCUAUUGGGCUGGGACCCACCUCAUGGUUGUCUUCGUCUUUAAGCACGUAAUGCGAUCAAUCAAAUCAGAUUUAGAUAGUUUGGUGUUCGGCAGAAUGCACUGAACAUUUGGAUUCGUUUAGUUGGUUUUUUUUUUUUUUUUUGCAUUAUUAUUCAAUGAAUAUAAUGUAUAAUAAAAUAUAAUUAACUGCUAUUUUUAAAAAAAAAUAAAAUAAAUCUCACAAAAAUAGACUAUUUAAAUUACGUGCAUGCGCGCUUUAUUAUUAUCAUAGUAAGAAAAUUCAUAUAAAAAAUGAAUAGAAGCAAAUUCUAACUUGAUUUUGUAUACGACGCAGAUAAUAAUGUGAUUUUUUUAUUUUUUUUCCCAUAUAAUUCUUG